AUUACUCGAAUCUUUCCGCGUUAACAUCCGCUCCCAAAGGCCAGUAGUCGAUCGAUCUCUCCAAACCAGGCCAAGCCCUAGAAAUCUUGCGAUCCCUUGAGAUCCAAGCGGAGCUGCAACGAGACCUCAGCAAGAAGCGCUCGGAUUCGAACAUAAAGAAGACCAAAUCAGUAAAGGCGCGAUCGCAGCAGCAACAGAACGGCCACGCCCUUACGUCUAAACUCGCCAACUUGCUCGAUCCUGAGGCCUCUUGGGAUAAGGAUCAAUUGGGGGACGUUCUGCACUGAAUGCGGCAAGCGUUGGGCCUCGUGUGUGGUUUGCUGUGGGGUGCCUAUUCCCUUGGGUGGUGCUACCUGGAUUGUUGUCUUGCUUGGAUUCUUGUAUACAGUUUGGCACACUUUUAAACAGCUGUUAUCUGCUGAACCACGUGGAGCCCCAUCUUUUGAUCUCCCAUGAAAUGAGAACUAGCAGUGGCUUUGUUAGUUAGAGAUAUUUUUGGUAUAUUGAUUUCUACCAUAUGGGCUGAGAGCAUUUGUUUUAUAGUACUUAGUAGUGCCAAGGGAUUCCUCUUUGCAUUAUUUCUCACCAUCCAUAGUGUUUGACAUUACUAUACUUGUUGCAGUUGUGAAGGGCACAAUUCCAGGGAAAAUCCCUAUGCUCAUCAAAGAGGAUUAUUCGUGAACAAAGUUUAAUCAGUGUGGUAUAGUCCUUAACAAAGUAUUUGUUUUCCUGUGCUGAAAUAAUUGCAGCAAGCAAUCACAUGCCAGACUAAGCAAGAAGAGCAUGAGAGGUGAUUUGAUAGUUUGUUCAUCCAACAGAAGAAAAGCCUCCUAAAAGAAUUCAGACGUACCAAAGAGAAGGACAAUUAUGGCACCUUUUGGAGUUUGCAACAUUAUUCCAGGUAUGAGCUGUAUUUUAAUGGUUGUAUGCAGCCUCUUCAUUUAGUUUCUACAAGACCAAGCUCUUUCAGCAGGGAAUGAAAAAUAAUUCAACUUAUAAACAACCCAAUCCUUAUGUCUCACAUCAAUAAAGGAUUAAACUUUUAAAACGACAUGUGGAUGAGGACUCCCUUCCAUGAUAAUGAUUUUUUUUUAAAAAAAAUUGUUAUUAUCAAAUGAUAUACAUAAUGUUUAUAUAUGGAUUCGAAGUUGAAACCUAUUACUCGUUAUAAUGAUAUACUAAUCAACCUAGAUGCCAUAAUAGAGACCACAAAAUAACAAUUCAAACAUAUAUUUUUUGAAUAAAAAUAAUUUGGAAAACAUUUCACUAAUUGCUCAUAGUUAGGGGUCUCAAGUUAUAAAUAGAAAAUUCUUUCAUGAUGAUCCAAGUUCUUCUCUCAUUUUUAUACUGUAUACAUCACACCUUGGGAAUUCUUUGACUCGAGUGUCGAAGAGAUCGUUCCAAAAAUUUACCUUGCAGUGAUCUUCACUUGCAGGUGGGGGUGUGAGAGUUGUGUCUUACUUGGGAUGUUUAUAAUGUCGAUUUUCUUUCCUUAAGAUCUGUAUUGAAUUAUGAUUCUCAGUGCAUGUCAAGAUUCAAGAUUAGGAUCAAAUUGGAUUGUCUCUGUCUCUCCAUAAUAAGGAUCAAUGAUAGGGACGAACAAUUAUCAUCAUAUAUUGAUUAUUAUCUUAAUAUCUUUGGGCUUAUAAACUAAAAGAUAUUAAAGGAUUUGACUCUUGUUUGAACAUACUUAAAACUCAAUCCCAAUUCUCCAACUCGUAAAAAGAGAGGUCUCCCACUUCCCUAUCCUUUGCCGUCGCCACAACAGUCGUCGGAUUCCCCUUCACAUCCGUGGGUUCAGAAGCCGUGCAAACACAGAGACAAGAGUUAAA